rnacentral:rRNA from 1 species
GACGAACGCUGGCGGCGUGCUUAACACAUGCAAGUCGAACGAAGUGGGAACGGGUGAGUAAUACGUGGGUAACCUCCCUCCUUUUUGGGAUAAGCCUUGGAUACGGGGUCUAAACCGAAUAGAUGGGCUCGCGGCCUAUCGGCUUGUUGGGGGGGUGAUGGCCUACCAAGGCGGUGACGGGUACCCGGCCUGAGAGGGUGAACGGCCAAAUUGGGACUGAGACACGGCCCAGAAUCCUACGGGAGGCAGCAGUGGGGAAUCUUCCGCAAUGGACGAAAGUCUGACGGAGCAACGCCGCGUGAGUGAUGACGGCCUUCGGGUUGUAAAGCUCUGUUAAUCGGGACGCGGUACCGGAAUAGAAAGCCACGGCUAACUACGUGCCAGCAGCCGCGGUAAUUC